CCUACGGGAGGCAGCAGUGGGGAAUAUUCCGCAAUGGGCGAAAGCCUGACCCAGCAACGCCGCGUGAAGGAUGAAGGCUUUCGGGUUGUAAACUUCUUUUCUGAGGGACGAAGAAAGUGACGGUACCUCAGGAAUAAGCUACGGCUAACUAAGUGCCAGCAGCCGCGGUAAUACGUAGGUGGCAAGCGUUAUCCGGAUUGAUUGGGGGUAAAGGCCGUGUAGGCGGGUAAGCAAGUCAGAUGUGAAAGUUCAGGGAUCAACCCUGGGCCUGCAUUUGAAACUGUUUUACUUGAGUGCUGGAGAGGCAAUCGGAAUUCCAUGUGUAGCGGUGAAAUGCGUAGAUAUACGGAGGAACACCAGUGGCGAAGGCGGAUUGCUGGACAGAAACUGACGCUGAGGGGCGAAAGCGUGGGGAGCAAACAGGAUUAGAUACCCUUGUAGUC
rnacentral:rRNA from 1 species